rnacentral:rRNA from 1 species
AGAGUUUGAAUCCUGGCUCAGGAUGAACGCUGGCGGUAUGCUUAACACAUGCAAGUCGAACGGUCUCUUCGGAGAUAGUGGCGGACGGGUGAGUAACACGUGAGAAUCUGGCUUCAGGUCGGGGACAACCACUGGAAACGGUGGCUAAUACCGGAUAUGCCGGAAGGUGAAAGAUUAAUUGCCUGAAGAUGAGCUCGCGACUGAUUAGCUAGUAGGUGUGGUAAGAGCGCACCUAGGCGACGAUCAGUAGCUGGUCUGAGAGGAUGAUCAGCCACACUGGGACUGAGACACGGCCCAGACUCCUACGGGAGGCAGCAGUGGGGAAUUUUCCGCAAUGGGCGAAAGCCUGACGGAGCAAUACCGCGUGAGGGAGGAAGGCUCUUGGGUUGUAAACCUCUUUUCUCAAGGAAUAAGAUCUGAAGGUACUUGAGGAAUAAGCAUCGGCUAACUCCGUGCCAGCAGCCGCGGUAAUACGGAGGAUGCAAGCGUUAUCCGGAAUGAUUGGGCGUAAAGAGUCCGUAGGUGGCGAUUCAAGUCUGCUGUCAAAGCACAAGGCUCAACCUUGUAAAGGCAGUGGAAACUGAAUGGCUAGAGUGCGUUCGGGGCAGAAGGAAUUCCUGGUGUAGCGGUGAAAUGCGUAGAGAUCAGGAAGAACACCGGUGGCGAAAGCGUUCUGCUAGGCCGCAACUGACACUGAGGGACGAAAGCUAGGGGAGCGAAUGGGAUUAGAUACCCCAGUAGUCCUAGCCGUAAACGAUGGAUACUAGGCGUGGCUUGUAUCGACCCGAGCCGUGCCGGAGCCAACGCGUU